rnacentral:lncRNA from 1 species
CCCCCGCCUGCCCCCUUUUGCCCGCCCGGGGAUGGAGCAAAGAGGGAAGAGGACACGGGACGGUCUUCUCGGGGUCCGGCUGGUGCCCCCCGUGCUUUUGCUGUCACUGCUGCAGCUGGUGGGGGGGGCUCCCGUGGGCCAGAGGCUGUACCCCAUGCCGGCCAGCAUCCUGCAAGCGCUGUCAAGCCGGGGGACGCUGGUGCUGGAGGCGGCCCUGAGGAGCGCCCUGCUGGCCCUGGAGCGGGCGCUGUCUGAGCAGCAGCGGCAGCGCGGCGCCUGCGGGCUCUGUGCCCCCUGCCUCUUCCCACCCUGCGCCAACAUCACCGGCCGCUGCCCACCGCCAGCUGUGCCCCCUGCCAUGCCCCCCAGCUGCCAGGCCCUGCUGGAUGCCCAGGCGCUGCCCGAGCUGCCCCAGCGCAACCGGGCGCUGAGCCAGGCCUGUGCCCCCUACCAGCGCCUGUGCCGCCCCGAGGGGGCCCUGCACACCUGCGCCCCGCUCAGCGCCCAGCUCUGCCACCGCCGCCUCCAGGAGUGCCGUGAGUGGGCAC